AUCUGACUUCAAACUGCUUUAUUUAACAGGAAGACUGAGAGGUAGCCUGUAAUCUGAUAUCAAACUGCUUUAUUUAACAGGAACACCUAGAGGUAGCCUGUAAUCUGAUAUCAAACUGCUUUAUUUAACAGGAACACCUAGAGGUAGCCUGUAAUCUGAUAUCAAACUGCUUUAUUUAACAGGAACACCUAGAGGUAGCCUGUAAUCUGAUAUCAAACUGCUUUAUUUAACAGGAACACCUAGAGGUAGCCUGUAAUCUGACAUCAAACUGCUUUAUUUAACAGGAACACCUAGAGGUAGCCUGUAAUCUGACAUCAAACUGCUUCAUUUAACAGGAACACCUAGAGGUAGCCUGUAAUCUGACAUCAAACUGCUUUAUUUAACAGGAACACCUAGAGGUAGCCUGUAAUCUGACAUCAAACUGCUUCAUUUAACAGGAACACCUAGAGGUAGCCUGUAAUCUGACAUCAAACUGCUUUAUUUAACAGGAACACCUAGAGGUAGCCUGUAAUCUGACAUCAAACUGCUUUAUUUAACAGGAACACCUAGAGGUAGCCUGUAAUCUGACAUCAAACUGCUUCAUUUAACAGGAACACCUAGAGGUAGCCUGUAAUCUGACAUCAAACUGCUUCAUUUAACAGGAACACCUAGAGGUAGCCUGUAAUCUGAUAUCAAACUGCUUUAUUUAACAGGAACACCUAGAGGUAGCCUGUAAUCUGAUAUCAAACUGCUUUAUUUAACAGGAACACCUAGAGGUAGCCUGUAAUCUGAUAUCAAACUGCUUCAUUUAACAGGAACACCUAGAGGUAGCCUGUAAUCUGAUAUCAAACUGCUUCAUUUAACAGGAACACCUAGAGGUAGCCUGUAAUCUGAUAUCAAACUGCUUCAUUUAACAGGAACACCUAGAGGUAGCCUGUAAUCUGAUAUCAAACUGCUUCAUUUAACAGGAACACCUAGAGGUAGCCUGUAAUCUGAUAUCAAACUGCUUCAUUUAACAGGAACACCUAGAGGUAGCCUGUAAUCUGAUAUCAAACUGCUUCAUUUAACAGGAACACCUAGAGGUAGCCUGUAAUCUGAUAUCAAACUGCUUUAUUUAACAGGAACACCUAGAGGUAGCCUGUAAUCUGACAUCAAACUGCUUUAUUUAACAGGAACACCUAGAGGUAGCCUGUAAUCUGACAUCAAACUGCUUUAUUUAACAGGAACACCUAGAGGUAGCCUGUAAUCUGACAUCAAACUGCUUCAUUUAACAGGAACACCUAGAGGUAGCCUGUAAUCUGACAUCAAACUGCUUCAUUUAACAGGAACACCUAGAGGUAGCCUGUAAUCUGACAUCAAACUGCUUCAUUUA